rnacentral:lncRNA from 1 species
AAAGACAUUGUCAAAGUUCAAGAAGAAAUGAAAGGUAUGUAAGUAAUCAUAGUGGCCAGAAACUCUAUGAAUGUAAUGAACAUUCUAAAGCCUUUUCAUGUCCCAGUCAUCUCCAAUGUCAUAAAAGAAGACAAAUUGGAGAGAAGACACAUGAACAUAACGAAUGUGGUAAAGCCUUUCCAACACCCAGUCAUCUUCAAUAUCAUGAAAGAACCCAUACUGGAGAGAAACCUUAUGAAUGUCAUCAAUGUGGUCAAGGCUUUAAAAAAUGCAAUCAUCUCCAACGUCAUAAAAGAACACAUACUGGAGAGAAACCCUAUGAAUGUAAUCAGUGUGGUAAAGCCUUUCCAACACCCAGUCAUCUUCAAUAUCAUAAAAGAACACAUACUGGAGAGAAACCCUAUGAAUGUAAUCAGUGUGGUAAAGCCUUUGCAAGACCCAGUCAUCUCCAAUGUCAUAAGAGAACACAUACUGGAGUAAAACCCUAUGAAUGUAAUCAAUGUGGUAAAGCUUUUGCAAGUCACAGUGGUCUCCAAUAUCAUAAAAGAACACAUACGGGAGAGAAACCCUAUGAAUGUAAUCAGUGUGGUAAAGCCUUUGCAAGACCCAGUCAUCUCCAACAUCAUAAAAGAACACAUACUGGAGAGAAACCCUAUGAAUGUAAUCAAUGUGGUAAAGCCUUUGCAGGUCACAGUAAUCUCCAAUGUCAUAAAAGAACACAUACUGGAGAGAAACCCUAUGAAUGUAAUCAAUGUGGUAAAGUCUUUUCACAACACGGUCAUCUCCAAUGUCAUAAAAGAACACAUACUGGAGAGAAAUCCUAUGAAUGUAAUCAGUGUGGUAAAGCCUUUGCAUGUCACAGUUAUCUCCAAUGUCAUAAAAGAACACAUACUGGAGAGAAACCCUAUGAAUGUAAUCAAUGUGGUAAAGUCUUUUCACAUCACAGUAAUCUCCAACAUCAUAAAAGAACACAUACGGGAGAGAAACCCUAUGGAUGUAAUCAAUGCGGUAAAGCCUUUGCACAACUCAGUAGUUUCCAAUGUCAUAAAAGAACACAUACUGGAGAGAAACCCUAUGAAUGUAAUCAUUGUGGUAAAGCCUUUGCACGUCACAGUUAUCUCCAAUGUCAUAAAAGAACACAUACUGGAGAGAAACCCUAUGAAUGUAAUCAAUGUGGUAAAGUCUUUUCACAACACAGUCAUCUCCAAUGUCAUAAAAGAACACAUACUGGAGAGAAACUCUAUGAAUGUAAUCAAUGUGGUAAAGCCUUUGCACUACUCUCUACUUUCCAAUGUCAUAAAGGAACACAUACUGGAGAGAAACCCUAUGAAUGUAUUCAGUGUGGUAAAGCCUUUGCAAGACUCAGUCUUCUCCAAUUUCAUAAAAGAACACAUACUGGAGAGAAACCCUAUGAAUGUAUUCAGUGUGGUAAAGCCUUUGCAAGACCCAGUCUUCUCCAAUUUCAUAAAAGAACACAUACUGGAGAGAAACCGUAUGAAUGUAAUCAGUGUGGUAAAGCCUUUGCACGUCACAGUUAUCUCCAAUUUCAUAAAAGAACACAUACUGGAGAGAAACCCUAUGAAUGUAAUCAAUGUGGUAAAGCCUUUGCAAGACCCAGUCAUCUCCAACAUCAUAAAAGAACACAUACUGGAGAGAAACCCUAUGAAUGUAAUCAAUGUGGUAAAGCCUUUGCAGGUCACAGUAAUCUCCAACGUCAUAAAAGAACACAUACUGGAGAGAAACCCUAUGAAUGUAAUCAAUGUGGUAAAGUCUUUUCACAACACAGUCAUCUCCAACAUCAUAAAAGAACACAUACGGGAGAGAAACCCUAUGAAUGUAAUCAAUGCGGUAAAGCCUUUGCACAACUCAGAAGUUUCCAACGUCAUAAAAGAAUACAUACUGGAGAGAAACCCUAUGAAUGUAAUCAGUGUUGUAAAGCCUUUACAUGUCACAGUUAUCUCCAAUGUCAUAAAAGAACACAUACUGGAGAGAAACCCUAUGAAUGUAAUCAAUGUGCUGAAGUCUUUUCACAACACAGUCAUCUCCAAUGUCAUAAAAGAACACAUACUUUUUCGAUAUAGCUGUCUCCUGUGAGGCUAUUCCAGUGCUGAGCAAAUACAUAAGUGGAUGCUCAGAGUCAUCUAUUGAAUGGAACACAGGGCUCUCAAUGGAGGAGCCUGAGAAAGUACCCAAGGAGCUGAAGGGGUCUGCAACCCUAUAGGUGGAACAACAAUAUAAACUAACCAGUAACCCCCAGAGCUCAUGUCUCUAGCUGCAUAUCUAGCAGAAAAUGGCCUAGUCUGCCAUCAUUGGGCAGAGAAUCCCUUGGCCUCGCAAACUUUCUAAGCCCCAGUACAGGGGAACUCCAAGGCCCAGAAGUGGGAGUGGGUAGGUAGGGGAGCAGUGUGGGGGGAGUGUAUAGGGGAACUGUCGGGAUAGCUUUUUAAAUGUAAAUGAAGAAAAUAUCUAAUAAAAAUUGAAAUAUAAAAAAACAUACUGGAGAGAAAUCUAUGAAUGUAAUCAAUGUGGUAAAGCCUUUUCACAAUUCAGUAGUCUCCAAUGUUAUAAAAGUACAUAUACUGGAGGGAAACCCUAUGAAUGUAAUCAAUGUGGUAAAGCUUUUGCAGGUCACAGUCAUCUCCAAUAUCAUAAAAGAAUCCAUAAUGGAGAGAAUCCUUAGAAAUGUAAUCAAUGUUAUAAAAGCCUUUUCACAGUUAUUGUCUCUAUAAUCAUAAAAGAAUCCAUAUUCGAUAGAAACCUUAUGAAU